AGAUUAAACUAAAGAGUUUGAUCCUGGCUCAGAUUGAACGCUGGCGGCAUGCCUUACACAUGCAAGUCGAACGGCAGCACGGAGCUUGCUCUGGUGGCGAGUGGCGAACGGGUGAGUAAUAUAUCGGAACGUACCCUGGAGUGGGGGAUAACGUAGCGAAAGUUACGCUAAUACCGCAUACGAUCUAAGGAUGAAAGUGGGGGAUCGCAAGACCUCAUGCUCCUGGAGCGGCCGAUAUCUGAUUAGCUAGUUGGUGGGGUAAAGGCCCACCAAGGCAUCGAUCAGUAGCUGGUCUGAGAGGACGACCAGCCACACUGGAACUGAGACACGGUCCAGACUCCUACGGGAGGCAGCAGUGGGGAAUUUUGGACAAUGGGGGCAACCCUGAUCCAGCAAUGCCGCGUGAGUGAAGAAGGCCUUCGGGUUGUAAAGCUCUUUUGUCAGGGAAGAAAAGG
rnacentral:rRNA from 1 species